UUCGUAGGGACCGAGCGUUGUCCGGAAUCAUUGGGCGUAAAGAGCGUGUAGGCGGCCACUUAAGUCCUGCGUGAAAUCUUGCGGCUCAACCGCAAGCGGUCGUGGGAAACUGGGUGGCUAGAGUGCGGGAGAGGAGAGUGGAAUUCCCGGUGUAGCGGUGAAAUGCGCAGAUAUCGGGAAGAACACCCGUGGCGAAGGCGGCUCUCUGGGACGGUACUGACGCUGAGACGCGAAAGCGUGGGGAGCGAACAGG
rnacentral:rRNA from 1 species